rnacentral:rRNA from 1 species
GACGCAUCACUGGUGUUCGGGUUGUCAUGCCAAUGGCACUGCCCGGUAGCUAAAUGCGGAAGAGAUAAGUGCUGAAAGCAUCUAAGCACGAAACUUGCCCCGAGAUGAGUUCUCCCUGAGACUUUAGGUCUCCUGAAGGAACGUUGAAGACGACGACGUUGAUAGGCCGGGUGUGUAAGCGCAGCGAUGCGUUGAGCUAACCGGUACUAAUGAACCGUGAGGCUUAACCUUACAACGCCGAAG